rnacentral:rRNA from 1 species
UACGGAGGGUGCAAGCGUUAUCCGGAUUCACUGGGUUUAAAGGGUGCGUAGGUGGGAAUGUAAGUCAGUGGUGAAAUCUCCGUGCUUAACAAGGAAACUGCCAUUGAUACUGCUGGGCUUGAGUACAGAUGCUGUGGGCGGAAUAUGACAUGUAGUGGUGAAAUACAUAGAGAUGUCAUAGAACACCGAUUGCGAAGGCAGCUCACAAAACUGUAACUGACGCUGAGGCACGAAAGUGCGGGGAUCAAACAGG